AUUGAACGCUGGCGGCAUGCCUUACACAUGCAAGUCGAACGGUAACGGGCCUUCGGGUGCCGACGAGUGGCGAACGGGUGAGUAAUGCAUCGGAACGUACCUUUCAGUGGGGGAUAACGUAGCGAAAGUUACGCUAAUACCGCAUAUUCUGUGAGCAGGAAAGCAGGGGAUCGCAAGACCUUGCGCUGAUUGAGCGGCCGAUGUCAGAUUAGCUAGUUGGUGAGGUAAAGGCUCACCAAGGCGACGAUCUGUAGCGGGUCUGAGAGGAUGAUCCGCCACACUGGAACUGAGACACGGUCCAGACUCCUACGGGAGGCAGCAGUGGGGAAUUUUGGACAAUGGGGGCAACCCUGAUCCAGCCAUGCCGCGUGAGUGAAGAAGGCCUUC
rnacentral:rRNA from 1 species